CUUUAACAAUCUGGAACAAGCUGAAAAUUGAAACAUGACGGCUGAAACUUGUCCCUCCGUAUAAGUUUGGGAUAAGGAGUAACCUGUCAUAGAGUCUCUCAAAUGUUUGCAACGCGAAGUGAAACAUCUUCGG
rnacentral:sRNA from 2 species